CAGUACUUCAAGCCCAAGCCCUCAGUCAGGGCAGGGCAACAAAUAGCAGUUCUGGGCUCAGACCCUCAGGCAGGAGCUGAGCACCCACACAGCAGUUCAAGGGCUCACGUCCUCGGGCAGGAGCUGAGCAAACACACAGCCAGUUCAAGGGCUCAGGUCCUCGGGCAGGAGCUGAGCAACACUGUUGGGUGAGGACCAGCUGUUCAAACAACGCAGAAAUGAUGUCAUCUACUGGCAAACAGAAGAAAAUACUGUAAGGAAUUCUGGCUAUCAAUUAUAGAAGAGCUUGGGAGAGAGAUGAGUUAAAGAAGUGAAGGAUCAGGAAAAGGUACAAAUGAAGAGGCUCUUUGGGUGAAAGUAAAGGAGGAAAACAGACUGUUAUGCUAACCUUGGUGCUCUUCAUGGGAAGCCAUUUCUCCAGUGUGAAUAGUGUCUCUGCAUUUGGAAAUUGUUAUUGAACUCUUACUUCACCGCAGGGUGUCCACUGAUAAAUUUGCCAGAUAAAUACA